rnacentral:rRNA from 1 species
UUAUCCUACGGGGCGCAGCAGUCGGGAAUAUUGCGCAAUGGAGGAAACUCUGACGCAGUGACGCCGCGUGCAGGAAGAAGGUUUUCGGAUUGUAAACUGCUUUAGACAGGGAAGAAACAAGACAGUACCUGUAGAAUAAGCUCCGGCUAACUACGUGCCAGCAGCCGCGGUAAUACGUAGGGAGCAAGCGUUAUCCGGAUUUAUUGGGUUUAAAGGGUGCGUAGGCGGGCUUUUAAGUCAGCGGUAAAAAUUCGGGGCUCAACCCCGUCCGGCCGUUGAAACUGGGGGCCUUGAGUGGGCGAGAA